GGUUCCGUAGUGUAGUGGUUAUCACGUUCGCUUCAACAUCGCGAAAGGUCUCCCCGGGUUUGAUCCUGGACGGAACCA